rnacentral:rRNA from 1 species
UUAUGGCUCAGGACGAACGCUGGCGGCGUGCCUAAUACAUGCAAGUCGAACGCUUCUUUUUCCACCGGAGCUUGCUCCACCGGAAAAAGAGGAGUGGCGAACGGGUGAGUAACACGUGGGUAACCUGCCCAUCAGAAGGGGAUAACACUUGGAAACAGGUGCUAAUACCGUAUAACAAUCGAAACCGCAUGGUUUUGAUUUGAAAGGCGCUUUCGGGUGUCGCUGAUGGAUGGACCCGCGGUGCAUUAGCUAGUUGGUGAGGUAACGGCUCACCAAGGCCACGAUGCAUAGCCGACCUGAGAGGGUGAUCGGCCACAUUGGGACUGAGACACGGCCCAAACUCCUACGGGAGGCAGCAGUAGGGAAUCUUCGGCAAUGGACGAAAGUCUGACCGAGCAACGCCGCGUGAGUGAAGAAGGUUUUCGGAUCGUAAAACUCUGUUGUUAGAGAAGAACAAGGAUGAGAGUAACUGUUCAUCCCUUGACGGUAUCUAACCAGAAAGCCACGGCUAACUACGUGCCAGCAGCCGCGGUAAUACGUAGGUGGCAAGCGUUGUCCGGAUUUAUUGGGCGUAAAGCGAGCGCAGGCGGUUUCUUAAGUCUGAUGUGAAAGCCCCCGGCUCAACCGGGGAGGGUCAUUGGAAACUGGGAGACUUGAGUGCAGAAGAGGAGAGUGGAAUUCCAUGUGUAGCGGUGAAAUGCGUAGAUAUAUGGAGGAACACCAGUGGCGAAGGCGGCUCUCUGGUCUGUAACUGACGCUGAGGCUCGAAAGCGUGGGGAGCAACAGGAUUAGAUACCCUGGUAGUCCACGCCGUAAACGAUGAGUGCUAAGUGUUGGAGGGUUUCCGCCCUUCAGUGCUGCAGCUAACGCAUUAAGCACUCCGCCUGGGGAGUACGACCGCAAGGUUGAAACUCAAAGGAAUUGACGGGGGCCCGCACAAGCGGUGGAGCAUGUGGUUUAAUUCGAAGCAACGCGAAGAACCUUACCAGGUCUUGACAUCCUUUGACCACUCUAGAGAUAGAGCUUCCCCUUCGGGGGCAAAGUGACAGGUGGUGCAUGGUUGUCGUCAGCUCGUGUCGUGAGAUGUUGGGUUAAGUCCCGCAACGAGCGCAACCCUUAUUGUUAGUUGCCAUCAUUCAGUUGGGCACUCUAGCAAGACUGCCGGUGACAAACCGGAGGAAGGUGGGGAUGACGUCAAAUCAUCAUGCCCCUUAUGACCUGGGCUACACACGUGCUACAAUGGGAAGUACAACGAGUCGCGAAGUCGCGAGGCUAAGCUAAUCUCUUAAAGCUUCUCUCAGUUCGGAUUGCAGGCUGCAACUCGCCUGCAUGAAGCCGGAAUCGCUAGUAAUCGCGGAUCAGCACGCCGCGGUGAAUACGUUCCCGGGCCUUGUACACACCGCCCGUCACACCACGAGAGUUUGUAACACCCGAAGUCGGUGAGGUAACCUUUUGGAGCCAGCCGCCUAAGGUGGGAUAGAUGAUUGGGGUGAAGUCGUAACAAGGU